ACUGAACGCUGGCGUCAGGCCUAACACAUGCAAGUCGAACGAGUGGCGGACGGGUGAGUAAUGUCUGGGAAACUGCCUGAUGGAGGGGGAUAACUACUGGCAACGGUCGCUAAUACCGCAUACCAUCGGAUGUUCCCAUCUGGGAUUAGCUAGUAGGUGGGGUAACGGCUCACCUAGGCGACGAUCCCUAGCUGGUCUGAGAGGAUGACCAGCCAAACUGGAACUGAGACACGGUCCAGACUCCAUCGGGAGGCAGAAGGGGGGAAUAUUGGAAAAUGGGCGCAAGCGUGAUGCAGCCAUGCCGCUUGUAUGAAGAAGGCAUUCGGGUUGUAAAGUACUUUCAGCGGGGAGGCGUUACCCGCAGAAGAAGCACCGGCUAACUCCGUGCCAGCAGCCGCGGUAAUUC
rnacentral:rRNA from 1 species